GCCCUUUCUUUCUGCCGUGCACUUGGAGCACGGCACGGCCGCCAUUCUGCGUCCUUCCCCCUCUCACUCCGUCCUUACGUCGACUGAGUCAAAAGAAGUGGACGGAGCCUCCCGGACCGAAAAGGCAAGCUCCAGAGUGAGGAUAAUCCUGAUAUGUGAAAAAUCCUGUGGAUGCUGUAAAGUAAUGAGAAAAUGCUCGCGAGAGAGGGACGGAGGGAGGGAGGACAUCUGCAUCGUGUCAGAGAGUUGGGCCGGUGACUCCGGGCCAAUAGAGGGUGCUGCUGGACCACAUUACCUCAAAUGAAAAG